UGGGGAAUUUUGGACAAUGGGCGAAAGCCUGAUCCAGCCAUUCCGCGUGCAGGAUGAAGGCCCUCGGGUUGUAAACUGCUUUUGUACAGAACGAAAAAGCUCUGGUUAAUACCUGGAGUCCAUGACGGUACUGUAAGAAUAAGCACCGGCUAACUACGUGCCAGCAGCCGCGGUAAUACGUAGGGUGCAAGCGUUAAUCGGAAUUACUGGGCGUAAAGCGUGCGCAGGCGGUGAUGUAAGACAGUUGUGAAAUCCCCGGGCUCAACCUGGGAACUGCAUCUGUGACUGCAUCGCUGGAGUGCGGCAGAGGGGGAUGGAAUUCCGCGUGUAGCAGUGAAAUGCGUAGAUAUGCGGAGGAACACCGAUGGCGAAGGCAAUCCCCUGGGCCUGCACUGACGCUCAUGCACGAAAGCGUGGGGAGCAAACAGG
rnacentral:rRNA from 2 species